rnacentral:lncRNA from 1 species
CCGGGGAUCUGUUUCCGUUUUCGUUGUCCUCCUCCCCUUGGUUCUCCCAGGUUCCCUUUUAUAGGAGGGGAUUACGUUACCUGGGAGGUAACCGGGGGAUUUGUCCCUGUCUGUAAUAAUUGGGCACGAUUUGGCCCAUUUAUGGCGUAGUGGAGAACGGGGCCGAAUCAGACCGGAACCAGGGAGUUGUCACGGUCGAUCGGACCUGUUGGAGUGGUUGAACCACCGGCCGUAGCGGGCCUGGGGUCUGUGGAUGGUAAGUGCAUUUAUUACCGAAUGAACCGGCGGUCAGGUAGAGC